UACGUAGGUGGCGAGCGUUGUCCGGAAUUACUGGGUGUAAAGGGCGCGUAGGCGGGUUAGCAAGUCAGAUGUGAAAUACCGGGGCUCAACCCCGGGGCUGCAUCUGAAACUGAUAAUCUUGAGUGCUGGAGAGGGAAGCGGAAUUCCCGGUGUAGCGGUGAAAUGCGUAGAUAACGGGAGGAACACCAGUGGCGAAGGCGGCUUUCUGGACAGUAACUGACGCUGAGGCGCGAAAGCGUGGGGAGCAAACAGG
rnacentral:rRNA from 1 species